CACUCGAUAAAGCGAAAAGUUUCUAUUUUAUUAGACAAUUUACGAUUUGUCGUAUUUUUACGAGACGGCAAAUCGUAAAUUAUCCAAUCCAAUCCUAUAAAUUACGAGUGAAUGUUGGGAAUUUAUAAAAAGUAUCUCAAAGCGCAGUAAUCAAUUUCUUAAUAAAAUUCCUUUCGUUUAAUAUAAAAUCACUUAUUAAAAUCGUAAAACUUGGAAUUCGUCCAAGCUCCGUGUACGGCGAUAAAUUCAAUAUUGCAAAAAGAGAUAGUUUAAUCAGCUCCGACAGUUAUAUUCACUGCAGAUUAGCGUGGAAGUUUUCCACAAUGCGCGUACAAUUCAACGGUUUUCAUUAUAACGUACUUCGAGACUCUUAAACGCUUCUUAAAUGAUUAAACGAGGCGCGCGCUGCUAAGUGUUUUGUUGUCGACUAAGUUAUCGUCUUCCAUAUCUACCGGCUGUGCAUAGAGUUAUUACGAAAGUUCACUAUCUUCGCCAGACACGCAACCGGUCUUCCGCCCGAUGCAAGAAUUUCCAGAGCGAAGUUACCUCAAAAAUCGCGGAGCGUUUAUCAGAACGGGCGAACGUGGCGGAUAAAAGCUGACGAUAAUAGGGGCGCUAUUGUUCUCUUCCCUGCAAAGCGAGAAGCUUUCGGCAAUAUGCGGGCAAAACAAGCUGCGCGACGGAAAAGUAAUGCGACGAGGAAUGCGAAACUGAAUAUUUCGCGCUUUUUGCGAUUAUCGUAUCUGGAUUGCAAAUGGUUAUCGCGUAAAAGUGUUCGUGCAUACACUUCGCAGUUAUAAGGAAAAAACACUAUAACGCUCGAAUAAAUGGAUACCAGGUAUCGAUCCGAUCUCCGAUUCGAUCCGUAAUUGGUAUUCUCGCUUUUUCGGGGAGGAUCUUAAAGCGCCUCGCCGGAUAGGUAAUACGUGCCGCACGCGUUAAUUCGAGUGUAAAUAAUCCGUCUGACAAUGAGUUAAAUCUCGAUUAGGCCGCGGAUUGCGCCCGUCGAGAGCUAUAGCCCGUUUGUAUAAGCGAGGAGUGGGCUCGCUUGAAAAAGAUGGUCGCGAUUUCGCACGCGAAAAUGCGAAUGUCACGAGCCAUUAAUUUCACGCGAGCAUUAAGCAAAAUAAACGGUCUCGCGCGCGCGCGUAGAAGCGUUUUCUCUCUGGCUCCGUGCGCGCGCGCAUACGCGCCGCGUCGCAGUUGGCCAAGAAAUAAAAAAUAAUAUUAGAUUUACGAUUGCCACGCAAACACGCCCGGGCGCGCGGCGCUACGUUCUCGUUCGAAUUAUUAAUUCAACUAUAACCUGGCAACGGCGGACAGCGCGAACUGCGGGGCAUUACGAUACAAUUCUUCUUGCGCGGCGAACGUAAUGCAAUUAUGUCAGCGCGGUUUAAAUUGGUUUACGCGCUAAAGAAAAACGGUCCACUCUGUAUUCGCGGGACGUGUCUUAUUGAGCUGGAAUCAGUUGGACCGGUGUGUUAUUUCGCGACUUGGUACAUAGGUAUGGUGGAUAAAAAAGGGACAAAAAUAUAUUCCGUGCGCUUUAAUAUAUAACGUUUUCCCGCGUCUUUCUCCGGAGAAAAAUCUAAAAAAAUUUUUCUCUGAAACCCGACUCGAUUAAAAACUUCUUUUCACAUCUUUCCCUGAAACGGACUCAAUUAAUAUCAACGUUUAUAUUAUUCCAUUGUGAUUUCGUUAUAAAUGUAGAUAAUUAUAAUAAAAAAUCGUCGAGUUUUUUUUUAAAUUACAAAGAGUUUCUACAGCGUGACGACGAGUGAAAAUAUUUGCCGGUAUCCUCGGUGAUAUUAUUUUAAGCCCACGAUCCCACCGACUCCCCCUAAAUUUCCUCUCUCCCUCGCCGCGCGACGCCAACGUAUAAUGCGCUUGCACUUCGCUUUUUCAAGCAGCACACCCUUUUAGGAACAAAGUGGCCGUGUGUGCCUGGAAUGUCCUGCAAUGUCCGGAGACGGUGGCUAAACUAAAAUAAACGAUUAUCCGCAGCCGCCGCAAGGACAUUCUCGGAGCCCGGAGUAAGGCGAUUUUAGAACGACGGAUCAGGAUUACAGGAGGGAGAAGCAAGUCGCGGAGCAGGUCGGCCUCGUCUCCGAAGGUUCAACGUAACUGUUAACCUAUUUUACGCGACUUUCGUCAUUCGUACCUACUUCUCCCAUGGGAAUGCGACGCGGCGUCGGGGAAUAAAUUUCAGAUAUAGGCGGGCGAUACGCGCGCGACCGAUACAGCCGCCGAUGGGCGGACAUUUACGACCGCCAGCGCGGAUAUUUUUCCACGUGGACCUGCGGCUUGAUUCACGACCGACUCCUCCUCGAAUAGAUACGUGUGAAUUGUAUAGGCUCGAGCUCGGAGUCAAACCAGUCGAUAGAUUGCUUCUGUCUCUUUUUUUUUUAUAACUUUCCAUCCUCACUGCGAUCGCUAGGUUGACGCUAUUAAUUACAAGUUACGUCAAACGCAAGACUAUAAUACUUAAUUGACAAAUAACGAUUCUUUAUUGAUGAAUAUGUUCGAUGCAGAGGGGUCUGCUUUUGCUAUUCAGACAUAAAAUGUCAUAUCGUAAUGGUUGUUGGUUUCUCGAGUUGUUGAAGCACCGCAGAUAUUGCGUAAAUAACAGAAAAUAAUGCCUAUUCAAUCGGCGCUAGCCCACAAUGUACAACUGUCCGAACAAUUUUCUAUUGUAUUUUGGCGUGCGCCAUCACAAUAGGAAGAUAAAGUUCACAAUCAGUUCGGUUGGCGCUAAGCCACGCCCGUGUCCGACAUAGUUUCCGAAUUGCCUGCUCUAUGCACCACGUUCAAUAUACAUUAAUGGAUAUGGCAAUCGGAAAGUAACAUUUUCCCGAAAUCGCAACCUAAAAUCUUGCCCGUUGCAGAGCGCGAUAAACAGCGCGCCGGGUUUAUUAAGAAAAGUGCAUCAGACACUGUGUUUUACUUAUGUACAUUAAUAGACGGCAUGUGCAAAAAAAAAAACAACAUGGCAAAUGCCUCUCUCGCAGGGGGCAAUAUGUUAUAAAAAAAAAUCCUGACACGAAAUGACCGCAAGAUAGAUGAGAUUGCUGGUAAUCUCUUCAUCGCAUGUCACCAGAGUGAUUUAUUGUUUCGUUAAACGCGGAUAUAAUAUUUAGAAAAAGAGAAAGGUGCAAUCAGUUAUAUGUUCAUAAGUGCCGUUAUGACGACCGAUGACACAAUUUUACGUGGAAUACAAGUUACACAACAAGGUUAUGAGAUUUAACAAGGGACGAUGUGGAACACGGAAUCAAUUUUCGAAUGUAUUUUCAAUUUUUCGCAUCCCCAGCGCCUCUCGUGCGAAAAACGUGCUUGCAGAAUGUGUAUGACUAUUACAUAAUGCAACGAAGCUUCAUGAUGCGCGAGGAUACAACAUGUAGUUUCAAUUUUCAAAUUCAUAUCGCAUUUUAUUUCCUCCCUAUUUUCGAUAUGGAAGAGGAAAUAUUGCGUAACCAUCAUAUCUCGCACAAUUAAAAAUUUCGACUGCAGUCACAAGUUUCGCUCUUAUAAUUGUUAUAUUUUCUGAAAAUAUAUUUUAUAUAAUCAUUAUAAUCUUACGACUUUAAGAAAUUUAU